rnacentral:rRNA from 1 species
CCUACGGGAGGCAGCAGUGGGGAAUUUUGGACAAUGGGCGCAAGCCUGAUCCAGCAAUGCCGCGUGAGUGAAGAAGGCCUUCGGGUUGUAAAGCUCUUUUGUCAGGGAAGAAACGGUGAGCUCUAAUACAGUUUGCUAAUGACGGUACCUGAAGAAUAAGCACCGGCUAACUACGUGCCAGCAGCCGCGGUAAUACGUAGGGUGCAAGCGUUAAUCGGAAUUACUGGGCGUAAAGCGUGCGCAGGCGGUUUUGUAAGUCUGUCGUGAAAUCCCCGGGCUCAACCUGGGAAUGGCGAUGGAGACUGCAAGGCUAGAGUUUGGCAGAGGGGGGUAGAAUUCCACGUGUAGCAGUGAAAUGCGUAGAUAUGUGGAGGAACACCGAUGGCGAAGGCAGCCCCCUGGGUCAAAACUGACGCUCAUGCACGAAAGCGUGGGGAGCAAACAGGAUUAGAUACCCUGGUAGUCCACGCCCUAAACGAUGUCUACUAGUUGUCGGGUCUUAAUUGACUUGGUAACGCAGCUAACGCGUGAAGUAGACCGCCUGGGGAGUACGGUCGCAAGAUUAAAACUCAAAGUGAAUUGACGG